rnacentral:rRNA from 1 species
GACGAACGCUGGCGGCGUGCUUAACACAUGCAAGUCGAACGGAAAGGCCCUGCUUGCAGGGUACUCGAGUGGCGAACGGGUGAGUAACACGUGGGUGAUCUGCCCUGCACUUCGGGAUAAGCUUGGGAAACUGGGUCUAAUACCGGAUAGGACCGCACUUUAGUGUGUGUGGUGGAAAGUUUUUUCGGUGUAGGAUGAGCUCGCGGCCUAUCAGCUUGUUGGCGGGGUAAUGGCCUACCAAGGCGGCGACGGGUAGCCGGCCUGAGAGGGUGUACGGCCACAUUGGGACUGAGAUACGGCCCAGACUCCUACGGAAGGCAGCAGUGGGGAAUAUUGCACAAUGGGCGCAAGCCUGAUGCAGCGACGCCGCGUGGGGGAUGAAGGCCUUCGGGUUGUAAACUCCUUUCGCUAGGGACGAAGCUUUGUUGUGACGGUACCUAGAUAAGAAGCACCGGCUAACUACGUG